CAAACUAAAGAUGGCGACCGGCGCACGGGUGAGUAACACGUAUCCAACCUGCCCUUUACUCGGGGAUAGCCUUUCGAAAGAAAGAUUAAUACCCGAUAGCAUAAUGAUUCCGCAUGGUUUCAUUAUUAAAGGAUUCCGGUAAAGGAUGGGGAUGCGUUCCAUUAGGUUGUUGGUGAGGUAACGGCUCACCAAGCCUUCGAUGGAUAGGGGUUCUGAGAGGAAGGUCCCCCACAUUGGAACUGAGACACGGUCCAA
rnacentral:rRNA from 1 species